GCGACGAUCUGUAGCUGGUCUGAGAGGAUGAUCAGCCACACCGGGACUGAGACACGGCCCGGACUCCUACGGGAGGCAGCAGUGGGGAAUAUUGGACAAUGGGGGCAACCCUGAUCCAGCCAUGCCGCGUGUGUGAAGAAGGCCUUUUGGUUGUAAAGCACUUUAAGCAGUGAAGAAGACUCCGUGGUUAAUACCCACGGACGAUGACAUUAGCUGCAGAAUAAGCACCGGCUAACUCUGUGCCAGCAGCCGCGGUAAUACAGAGGGUGCAAGCGUUAAUCGGAAUUACUGGGCGUAAAGCGAGCGUAGGUGGCUUGAUAAGUCAGAUGUGAAAUCCCCGGGCUUAACCUGGGAACUGCAUCUGAUACUGUUAGGCUAGAAUAGGUGAGAGGAAGGUAGAAUUCCAGGUGUAGCGGUGAAAUGCGUAGAGAUCUGGAGGAAUACCGAUGGCGAAGGCAGCCUUCUGGCAUCAUAUUGACACUGAGGUUCGAAAGCGUGGGUAGCAAACAGGAUUAGAUACCCUGGUAGUCCACGCCGUAAACGAUGUCUACUAGUCGUUGGGUCCCUUGAGGACUUAGUGACGCAGCUAACGCAAUAAGUAGACCGCCUGGGGAGUACGGCCGCAAGGUUAAAACUCAAAUGAAUUGACGGGGGCCCGCACAAGCGGUGGAGCAUGUGGUUUAAUUCGAUGCAACGCGAAGAACCUUACCUGGUCUUGACAUAUCUAGAAUCCUGCAGAGAUGCGGGAGUGCCUUCGGGAAUUAGAAUACAGGUGCUGCAUGGCUGUCGUCAGCUCGUGU
rnacentral:rRNA from 1 species